CAAGGGGGGGGGGGGUAUUUGCUUUAUCGCUGCCUCCUGCAGGUUCAAGGCAGCCGCUGAACGUGACUUUAAACUUUCAUCCUGAUUUUUUUUCCAGUUCGAUUUCCCAGCUCGGCUCUGACGCUCCAAAGCCAGCGGCUGGAAAGCUCAAACACUGCUUUGGGGACGUAUCGCUCGAUCCGCUGCGUGGGGAGCCCGUCGCCCUCGGGCUGGCCCAGGUCGAGCCCCAGCGAGCCGCGAACCUACGCUGGUGUUUGGCUGCGUUAUAUCAGAAACAUACUUUCUCAGAAGGUAAAAAGAGAUGUGUGUGUCGUGAAGGAAGUCUCCUUUGAAAAGAAUUAAGAGACAGAGGCGUGAUGGAGGAAGGCACCAAGCCGUUUCUGCCCGACUGCAUGCAGGCGAGGAGGCUCUGAGGUGCCUGUGUCUACGCUUUCCUUCGGGGUGACGGCUCCCCUUCAAAAACUGGCACCCACGGCAGUGAUCACGAAAAACGUACCGGAUAAUAUCUCAGCAGUGUGCAAGCUAUCUGGUCGAGAGGAAAAAAGCAAGAGGAAAAAGGUGUAGAUGUUUGAGCACAAAUGAGUGAAAACUGGAAUAACUAAUCAUGAAAAGAGAAAAUACAUCAUUAGGAUGUAUAAAUACUGUACUUUUUGACCUAGCUUUCCGCAAACACAGGUAUGUUCUCUCAUGACACGUAAUUCCCACAUAAAAGGAAUAUUGUCUCCUACUCAUUAAGGGUAAAACAACUGAUUUACCUUAGGAGCCAUUCAACAAUUCUUGGUGCAUACAAAAGGUAUGGAGCAAAAAGAAACAGACUUUUCCGCAAGCCGAAACCUUGGGACGAUCUCCUGGUGCCCUCUGCUGUCCAAAUUUUUCACUCAAGAAAGCACAAUUUUGAUAUUUUGACAUGCUUAUUGGUUUUAGGAGUUAAUAGGUUGGCAGCCUGACCUGAUUUUUGGUGAUAAGGCUAAAUGAUUUUGCUUCAUUGCUGUUAUUUUAGCUAAAACAGCAGCUUGCCGAAGACAGUUAUCUUUGGCUCUUAAACCAAACCAGAGAACCUGUAGCACGUGGGGAAAAUACAGGUGAUUUCUGAAAACACUUAUUGUAUUUGCCUUUGAAAUGAUGGGUAAAAAUUGUAGCCUAAAAACAUGUAGAAGUGGAUGUUUGAGCUGUAAAGGAAAAUUAAUUCCUCUACGAUACAGCUACUGAAAAUUUUAACUUGUUACUUUCAACUUAUUCUACCCGGGUCCUCAAACUUUGCGACAGGUAUUUUCUCCCAUCUCCAAACGCUCUUCGCUGAUCUGUAAUUGAUAUUGUAGAAACAUACAACUA
rnacentral:lncRNA from 1 species